rnacentral:rRNA from 1 species
GCUCAGGAUGAACGCUGGCGGCGUGCUUAACACAUGCAAGUCGAGCGAAGCACCUUGACGUGAUUUCUUCGGAUUGAAGCCUUGGUGACUGAGCGGCGGACGGGUGAGUAACGCGUGGGUAACCUGCCUCAUACAGGGGGAUAACAGUUGGGAACGGCUGCUAAUACCGCAUAAGCGCACAGUACCGCAUGGUACGGUGUGAAAAACUCCGGUGGUAUGAGAUGGACCCGCGUCUGAUUAGGUAGUUGGUGGGGUAACGGCCUACCAAGCCGACGAUCAGUAGCCGACCUGAGAGGGUGACCGGCCACAUUGGGACUGAGACACGGCCCAAACUCCUACGGGAGGCAGCAGUA